rnacentral:ncRNA from 1 species
UAACAUACCCACGCCUUACCAGGACUAAACAGCGUGGUAAAACAACAGUCCUUCAUACCCACGAUGGAGGGUGUCGUGGGAAUAUUUUAUUCG